rnacentral:rRNA from 1 species
AUUGAACGCUGGCGGCAUGCUUUACACAUGCAAGUCGAACGGUAACAGGCCGCAAGGUGCUGACGAGUGGCGAACGGGGGGGUAAUGCAUCGGAACGUGCCCAGUCGUGGGGGAUAACUACUCGAAAGAGUAGCUAAUACCGCAUACGAUCUAUGGAUGAAAGCGGGGGACCGCAAGGCCUCGCGCGAUUGGAGCGGCCGAUGUCAGAUUAGGUAGUUGGUGGGGUAAAGGCUCACCAAGCCAACGAUCUGUAGCUGGUCUGAGAGGACGACCAGCCACACUGGGACUGAGACACGGCCCAGACUCCUACGGGAGGCAGCAGUGGGGAAUUUUGGACAAUGGGCGCAAGCCUGAUCCAGCAAUGCCGCGUGCAGGAAGAAGGCCUUCGGGUUGUAAACUGCUUUUGUACGGAACGAAACGGCUCUGGUUAAUACCCGGGGCUAAUGACGGUACCGUAAGAAUAAGCACCGGCUAACUACGUG